GACGAACGCUGGCGGCGUGCUUAACACAUGCAAGUCGAACGGAAAGGCCCUGCUUUUGUGGGGUGCUCGAGUGGCGAACGGGUGAGUAACACGUGAGUAACCUGCCCUUGACUUUGGGAUAACUUCAGGAAACUGGGGCUAAUACCGGAUAGGAGCUCCUGCUGCAUGGUGGGGGUUGGAAAGUUUCGGCGGUUGGGGAUGGACUCGCGGCUUAUCAGCUUGUUGGUGGGGUAGUGGCUUACCAAGGCUUUGACGGGUAGCCGGCCUGAGAGGGUGACCGGCCACAUUGGGACUGAGAUACGGGCCAGACUCCUACGGGAGGCAGCAGUGGGGAAUAUUGCACCAUGGGCGGAAGCCUGAUGCAGCAACGCCGCGUGCGGGAUGACGGCCUUCGGGUUGUAAACCGCUUUCGCCUGGGAAGAAGCGUGAGUGACGGUAAUGGGUAAAGAAGCACCGGCUAACUACGUG
rnacentral:rRNA from 1 species